AGAGUUUGAUCCUGGCUCAGAUUGAACGCUGGCGGCAUGCCUUACACAUGCAAGUCGAACGGCAGCACGGGGGCAACCCUGGUGGCGAGUGGCGAACGGGUGAGUAAUGCAUCGGAACGUGCCCAGUUGUGGGGGAUAGCCCGGCGAAAGCCGGAUUAAUACCGCAUACGACCUGAGGGUGAAAGCGGGGGACCGAAAGGCCUCGCGCAAUUGGAGCGGCCGAUGUCGGAUUAGCUAGUUGGUGGGGUAAAGGCUUACCAAGGCGACGAUCCGUAGCUGGUCUGAGAGGACGACCAGCCACACUGGGACUGAGACACGGCCCAGACUCCUACGGGAGGCAGCAGUGGGGAAUUUUGGACAAUGGGCGCAAGCCUGAUCCAGCCAUGCCGCGUGCGGGAAGAAGGCCUUCGGGUUGUAAACCGCUUUUGUCAGGGAAGAAAUACGCUGGGAUAAUACCUCGGCGUGAUGACGUACCUGAAGAAUA
rnacentral:rRNA from 1 species